CUUGUGAUUCCUUGAAAAGAUAAUUGAAUACAUUUUCCUUUCAGAUGAAAAAGGCUGCUUUCCGCCAACUAUUGCCAAUGGAAAAUACACACAUGCCUCAGAUGGUUGGUACGAGGAGGAAAGCGUCAUCAGGAUCACAUGUGACAAAGGAUAUGAACACAAAAACAACUUGGCAACAGCUAAAUGUGCAAACGGGACAUGGUCCUCUUUGCCCACGUGUGAACAAAGCAUCAAAACGUGCAGCAUGCCCCCCAAAGUCCCACAUGCUGUAAUUGUUCACCAGGGAUACCUGGAGCUGUUUCCCGAAGAUUCAAAAGUGCACUACGAAUGUAAAGAUGGAUAUAGAAUGGAGGGAUCAGACAAAAAUCCAAUUGUUUGCUUGGCUGGAACCUGGACUGAAUACCCAACCUGCAGUAAAGUGACAGUUAGGGGGGACCACACUUCUACGGAACGUGGGACACAACCUGGGAGUGGGGGAGGUGGAGGCAGGGGACACAGCACGUCCUCUGGCCAAGGGACACAACCUGGGAGUGGGCGAGGUGGAGGUAUGUUA